UACGAAGGGGGCUAGCGUUGCUCGGAAUCACUGGGCGUAAAGGGUGCGUAGGCGGGUCUUUAAGUCAGGGGUGAAAUCCUGGAGCUCAACUCCAGAACUGCCUUUGAUACUGAGGAUCUUGAGUACGGGAGAGGUGAGUGGAACUGCGAGUGUAGAGGUGAGAUUCGUAGAUAUUCACAAGAACACCAGUGGCGAAGACGGCUCACUGGCCCGUUACUGACGCUGAGGCACGAAAGCGUGGGGAGCAAACAGG
rnacentral:rRNA from 1 species